UACGAAGGUCCCAAGCGUUAUCCGGAUUUAUUGGGUUUAAAGGGUGCGUAGGCGGGUUAUUAAGUCAGUGGUGAAAGCCUUCAGCUUAACUGAAGAACUGCCAUUGAUACUGAUGAUCUUGAGUAUGAUUGAGGUGGGCGGAAUGUGUCAUGUAGCGGUGAAAUGCUUAGAUAUGACACAGAACACCGAUUGCGAAGGCAGCUCACUAAGACC
rnacentral:rRNA from 1 species